GACGAACGCUGGCGGCGUGCUUAACACAUGCAAGUGGAGCGACGAACCGGGCUUCGGCCCGGGGCAGAGCCGCGAACGGGUGAGUAACACGUGGGUAACGUGCCCCGAUGACUGGGACAACCCGGGGAAACCCGGGCUAAUACCAGAUGUGCCCUUCCACCAUCAGGUGGUUGGGGAAAGGUAGCUUCGGCUUCCGCAUCGGGAUCGGCCCGCGGCCCUA
rnacentral:rRNA from 1 species